CUUGCUUUUUGGAGGGAAUUCCUGCAGUUAAAUUUAGUAGCAGACACGAGCUCAAUAAAAAAAACCAGCAUACUCUCUCUUUAACUGUCGAAGUUGGAAGGAAACAAAGGAGAUUUGACAUCCAUUAUAAAUUUCCAAAGUAAAUACUGCACAAGUCAACCUUCUUUGCAAACAAUAAGGGUAAAGAGCUUCAAUGUACCUUGAGACAACGAAUGAUGACAGGGUUUACACCAGCCAGCAUUUCUCUGCCAAAUUCUUCAUCAGUCCUCCA
rnacentral:misc_RNA from 1 species